GACGAACGCUGGCGGCGUGCUUAACACAUGCAAGUCGAGCGGUAAGGCCCUUUCGGGGGUACACGAGCGGCGAACGGGUGAGUAACACGUGGGUGACCUGCCCUCAGCUCUGGGAUAAGCCUGGGAAACCGGGGUCUAAUACCGGAUAUGACUCCAUGACGCAUGUUGUGGGGUGGAAAGCCUUGUGCGGCUGAGGAUGGGCCCGCGGCCUAUCAGCUUGUUGGUGGGGNGAUGGCCUACCAAGGCGACGACGGGUAGCCGGCCUGAGAGGGCGACCGGCCACACUGGGACUGAGACACGGCCCAGACUCCUACGGGAGGCAGCAGUGGGGAAUCUUGCGCAAUGGGCGAAAGCCUGACGCAGCGACGCCGCGUGAGGGAUGACGGCCU
rnacentral:rRNA from 1 species